AUGGCUUUGAAGGUUACCGGAAAAACACGCGUGGAGCUGGAGGUGGCAGUUCACCGAAAUUGAAUCACUCUAACGAGCCGCAACAUAAAAUCCCUGGAAAAGGUGUGUGCUGACUUCAUCAGAGGAGCAGAGGCAAAGAAUCUCCAAGUGAAAGGACCAGUUCGAAUACCUACCAAGACUUUGAGAAUCACUACAGAAAAAGUCCUUGUGGUGAAGGUUCUAAGACGUGGGAUCCUUUCCAGAUGAGAAUCCACAAGCGACUCAUUGACUUGCACAGUCCUUCUGAGAUUGUUAAGCAGAUUGCUUCCAUCAGUUUGAGCCGGGAGUUGAGGUGAAAGUCACCAUUGCAGAUGCUUAA
rnacentral:lncRNA from 1 species